AGAGUUUGAUCCUGGCUCAGGACGAACGCUGGCGGCGUGCCUAAUACAUGCAAGUCGAGCGGAGUCUUGGUGAAUCUUCGGAUUCACCUUGGCUUAGCGGCGGACGGGUGAGUAACACGUGGGCAACCUGCCUGUAAGAUCGGAAUAACUGUCGGAAACGUCAGCUAAAACCGGAUAGAUGGUCUUGUCGCAUGGCGAGA
rnacentral:rRNA from 1 species